rnacentral:rRNA from 1 species
GACGAACGCUGGCGGCGUGCUUAACACAUGCAAGUCGAGCGGAGCGGCGAACGGGUGAGUAACGCGUUAGUAACUGCACCCCUCUCUGGGAUAACAGAUGGAAACGGAUGCUAAUACCGGAUAGUGGGGCAUGACUCGAGUCCUAUGAGCUUGUUGGUGGGGUAGUGGCCGACCAAGGGGACGACGGGUAGCCGGCCUGAGAGGGCGGCCGGACACAAUGUGCUGAUAUACGGCGCAAACUCCUACGGGAGGCAGCAGUGUGGAAUAUUGCACCAUGGUGGAAACCCUGAUGCAGCAACGCCGCGUGCGGGAUGACGGCCUUCGGGUUGUAAACCGCUUUCAGCCAUGACGCGGUAGUGGCAGAAGAAGCACCGGCUAACUACGUGCCAGCAGCCGCGGUAAUAC